rnacentral:misc_RNA from 1 species
AGCAGCCGCGGUAAUUCCAGCUCCAAUAGCGUAUAUUAAAGUUGUUGCAGUUAAAAAAGCUCGUAGUUGAAUUUCGGGAUCAAUUUGCUGGUCGUGCCUCUGGUACGUACUGGUAUUAUUGGUUUCUCCCUUCUGACGAACCAUGAUGUCAUUAAUUUGAUGUCGUGGAGAAUCAGGACUGUUACUUUGAAAAAAUUAGAGUGUUUAAAGCAGGCAUUAGCUUGAAUACAUUAGCAUGGAAUAAUGAAAUAGGACGUUUGAUCCUAUUUUGUUGGUUUCUAGGAUUGACGUAAUGAUUAAUAGGGAUAGUUGGGGGCAUUAGUAUUCAAUUGUCAGAGGUGAAAUUCUUGGAUUUAUUGAAGACUAACUACUGCGAAAGCAUUUGCCAAGGAUGUUUUCAUUAAUCAAGAACGAAAGUUAGGGGAUCGAAGACGAUCAGAUACCGUCGUAGUCUUAACCAUAAACUAUGCCGACUAGGGAUCGGAUGAUGUUAAUUUUUUUAAUGACUCAUUCGGCGCCU